rnacentral:rRNA from 1 species
UACGAGAGGUGCAAACGUUAUUCGGAAUCAUUGGGCGUAAAGGGUGCGUAGACGGUAUGACAAGUCUGUUGUAAAAGACUCCAGCCUAACUGGAGCAGCGCAAUGGAAACUGUUGAACUAGAGUGUGAGAGAGAGAAGUGGAAUUCCCGGAGUAGCGGUCAAAUGCGUAGAUCUCGGGAGGAACACCGAUGGCGAAGGCAGCUUCUUGGCUCAUUACUGACGUUGAUGCACGAAAGCGUGGGGAGCAAACAGG